GAUGAACGCUGGCGGUGUGCCUAAUACAUGCAAGUCGAGCGGUAAGGCUACUUCGGUAGUACACGAGCGGCGGACGGCUGAGUAACACGUAGGAACGUACCCAAAAGUGAGGGAUAAGCACCAGAAAUGGUGUCUAAUACCGCAUGUGCUCUAAGGAGUAAAGCUUUAUGCGCUUUGGGAACGGCCUGCGCAUGAUUAGCUUGUUGGUAAGGUAAAAGCUUACCAAGGCGACGAUCAUUAGCUGGUCUGAGAGGAUGAUCAGCCAGACUGGGACUGAGACACGGCCCAGACUCCUACGGGAGGCAGCAGUAGGGAAUUUUCCACAAUGGGCGAAAGCCUGAUGGAGCAACACCGCGUGCAGGAUGAAGGCCUUCGGGUUGUAAACUGCUUUUAUAAGUGAAGAUUAUGACGGUAACUUAUGAAUAAGGAUCGGCUAACUCCGUGCCAGCCGCCGCGGUAA
rnacentral:rRNA from 1 species